CAAUUAAAUUAGAUUGGUUUGGGUACUUCAAAUUUGGGGUGUGGGACAAGGGAGGAUUUAGGGAACAUUGGACAACUGCUCCAUUGUGCAGCUCAUCAAUGAAUCAACAAGAAAUUAAUUAUUGACAUUUCUACCCCUUUACCUUUCUAGUUGGAUUCUAUUCAAAGAGUUGAAUCUAUUCUAUUAGUUAUGAAGAGAUGCAUAAACUUACUUAAUUGUAUUGGCAAGCAAAGCGGAACACUUCCACAAAAUUGUUGGAUUGAUAAAUG
rnacentral:misc_RNA from 1 species